CAGUCGCCGCGGUAAUACGAAGGGUGCAAGCGUUACUCGGAAUUACUGGGCGUAAAGCGUGCGUAGGUGGUGGUUUAAGUCCGUUGUGAAAGCCCUGGGCUCAACCUGGGAAUUGCAGUGGAUACUGGCUCGCUAGAGUGUGUCAGAGGAUGGUGGAAUUCCCGGUGUAGCGGUGAAAUGCGUAGAGAUCGGGAGGAACAUCAGUGGCGAAGGCGGCCAUCUGGGACAACACUGACGCUGAGGCACGAAAGCGUGGGGAGCAAACAGGAUUAGAUACCCCCGUAGUCCCUGUCUCUUAUAA
rnacentral:rRNA from 1 species